GACGGACCACACGAACGUUAUUCGGAAUUACUGGGCUUAAAGGGUGCGCAGGCGGCGUCGCAAGUCAGGCGUGAAAUCCCCGGGCUUAACCUGGGAACUGCACUUGAAACUACGAUGCUGGAGUAUGGCAGAGGGAGGUGGAAUUCCACGUGUAGCGGUGAAAUGCGUAGAGAUGUGGAGGAACACCGAUGGCGAAGGCAGCCUCCUGGGCCAAUACUGACGCUCAUGCACGAAAGCGUGGGGAGCAAACAGG
rnacentral:rRNA from 1 species